rnacentral:lncRNA from 1 species
UCACAUAGCACAGGGAGCAGAGAUCCCCCAAACCAUCAGAACCGGAAACCAAAGACGGAAAUAAAAAAUCAUCAGGUCACACUUAGGGUGGACACGGUCCGGUCCGGUCCGGUCCUUGACCGAGCCGUCGUUCGGACCGGCCGGCGGCGGUCCGGACCGGACCGGACCGAGCAACCGAGCGGUCCUACUUUUAUGGACCGGACCGGCGACGGUGAAGCCCGGGCUAGACCGAAUGGACCGAAUGGACCGGCCAGCCAUCGGCGUUGAUGUGCGCGCAUGCAGCUUCGAGGUGGGCUACGUGUUAGAUCAAGAACUGAAUCAACACACACACGGGAGGUCACGCGAGAAAGUAAAAGAGAAAGAAGACACGCACGAACGCAUUAAGUGGAGAGGAUUCUGCGACGCACAACUGUCUUUCUGCUCUUCCUUUUAUUCAGCUCGUAAUUCGAUAUAACCGGGCCACUUUCAGAGCAUUCGAGAUCGUGCCCCAGUUCUUCCUGUGGCACCAGCGUGGCGUUCGCCUACCUGGGUAGCUGGUGGCCGCCUGGCCGGUGUGCAUGCUGUGCUGAAAUAACGCGCCAUGCAAGGUGUGCAUAUCCACGUCUUAUCUUAGUUUCAGGUUAGUUAGAUGAGGCCGUUGUGGGAGGUCGUGGGAUGGCACGAUUUCAGCUCGUGGACGUGGGAUGGCACGGCCGCAAUUCCCGUUCCUUUGAGUAGAGGCCAUGGUCGAGGCUCGAGAACUCCAGAUCGGCAGUAGUGCACGCACAACAACAAUGGCAAGCAGCGGCAAGAGGCCACGGCGCAUGGGGUGAAGAGGAAGGAUGAAGAGAGGAAGCUCAAGGACACGAUGGUUCACCCGGGGACUGCCGAUGGCCGCGAUGACGAGGAACGGUGCCAGCGGUGACUGCGUCUUCUCGGUCUGACCGAGCGGCUCGGUUAAAGACCGGACCGACCGAGAUUUUUUCGGGCCGAAAAUGCCAGCCCGGACCGACCAGUUUUUCCGCCGGUCCUGAACCGUACGGUCCGGUCCUUAACAGGCCACGAGCAGGCCCAAAAGCCCGCUCGUUCCGUCCAGCCUGAGGUCACACUACUCGACUGCACACUGCACAGCCGGUCAAAUACCUGUAAAAAGGAUUAAAACAAAAUAAGAACCCAAAUAAAAAACAGUCACAUUUAAAUAGAAAAUAGCCCGUAUUCACCACGAAAGGAACCAUCUGGUCGCUUUCCACGCCGAACUUCUUGCCAUCGCCAGCGCGCUUAAAUUGGAGGCAUAUCCAAUAAAGAAACUACGAGACCAUCGAAGGAAACAACAAAGAAUCACCGAUGAGAAACCAUACUAAAACAAACACCACUAAUGAAGCAUUUUUCUUCAGAAAAUCAGGACAGCAUACCAAAAGCAGCAACAAAAUACCCACGAAGAAGCGGCGCCUCAGAGUCCCACGUCCGGAAUAAUCCCCGGCCACUUCAGCGAACCGAAGAACGAACCUAUGGUCGCCGACCAGAGCGUCGUUCAGCAGGUGAACCAUAUGAACCCCAAAAGGAAUGAAAGCACAGGAUACAAAGACAAGAAAGGCAGCAUGUACCUGAUUCGCUUCACAAACGCCUGUCAAAGCGGCAACCACCUAAAACAGAAGCAAGCAGCAGCCGCUGAAGCCCUAUACAAAAUAAUAUGGAGGGGCUCACCAGUGAGGACUAAAAGACCACACCCAAGGCGUUCAUGUGGCGGAAGGGGAGAUGCAGCCGGGGUCGGGGCAUGAUUUGGAAGAUGAACUGCGCUCUGAUGAUGACCCGCAGCAAACUGCCGGUGCUGCUGGAGCUGCACCUCGAUCAGAAGCUGAGGCUGAGACGGCCCCAUGGCGGACGCCGGCGGUGGCCGGAAGGCCUCCCCCUCUCCGUCGUGCUUCAACAGGCACAACUCAGCAUCGACCUCUCCCUCAAGGAGCCCUACAUCUCCACCGCGUUUGCGCCGAUGGCGAACGUCCUGGCCGACGUCGCCGGAGUCGCGAUUAGAGAGGAGAGGUGCCGACUGCCCCUGAAAGUCACCAACGGCAACGGUGUGGACGACCCUCUUGAGAGGGCUGGCCUGCUCCUCAUCGCCGCCGAGCUGCUCCAACCCUAGCUCGAUGAACGACGUCGCGUAGGGGCUGGCCGGCGACUAGGUUGGGGAGAAUGGGGGUGCGCGCCCGUGCAGAGAUGGAGGAGAGGGAGCAGCGGCCCGCCGGCGACCAGGUUGGGGAGGAUGGGGGUGCGCGCCCAUGCAGAGGAUGAGAGGAGGCAGCGGAUGUGUAGUGCUGGGUUGGGAAAAAGAAUGGUCGGAUG